rnacentral:rRNA from 1 species
UUGCCCUAGUAACGGCGAGUGAAGCGGCAACAGCUCAAAUUUGAAAUCUGGCUCUUUCAGAGUCCGAGUUGUAAUUUGCAGAGGGCGCUUUGGUGUUGGCGGCGGUCCAAGUUCUUUGGAACAGGACGUCACAGAGGGUGAGAAUCCCGUACGUGGUCGCUAGCCUUCACCGUGUAAAGCCCCUUCGACGAGUCGAGUUGUUUGGGAAUGCAGCUCUAAAUGGGAGGUAAAUUUCUUCUAAAGCUAAAUACUGGCCAGAGACCGAUAGCGCACAAGUAGAGUGAUCGAAAGAUGAAAAGCACUUUGGAAAGAGAGUCAAACAGCACGUGAAAUUGUUGAAAGGGAAGCGCUUGCAGCCAGACUUGCCUGUAGUUGCUUAUCCGGACUUUUGUCCGGUGCACUCUUCUGCGGGCAGGCCAGCAUCAGUUUGGGCGGUUGGAUAAAGGUCUCUGUCAUGUACCUCCUUUCGGGGAGGCCUUAUAGGGGAGACGACAUGCAACCAGCCUGGACUGAGGUCCGCGCAUCUGCUAGGAUGCUGGCGUAAUGGCUGUAAGCGGCCCGUCUUGAAACACGGACCAAGGAGUCUAACAUCUAUGCGAGUGUUUGGGUGUCAAGCCCAGACGCGUAAUGAAAGUGAACGGAGGUGGGAACCCUUUGGGUGCACCAUCGACCGAUCCUGAUGUCUUCGGAAGGAUUUGAGUAAGAGCAUGGCUGUUGGGACCCGAAAGAUGGUGAACUAUGCUUGAAUAGGGUGAAGCCAGAGGAAACUCUGGUGGAGGCUCGCAGCGGUUCUGACGUGCAAAUCGAUCGUCAAAUUU